rnacentral:rRNA from 1 species
AGUGAACGCUGGCGGCAGGCCUAAUACAUGCAAGUCGAACGGCAGCACAGCAGAGCUUGCUCUGUGGGUGGCGAGUGGCGGACGGGUGAGGAAUACGUGGGAAUCUGCCCAGUCGUGGGGGAUAACGUAGGGAAACUUACGCUAAUACCGCAUGCGCCCUUCGGGGGAAGGCCGGGGACCUUCGGGCCUGGCGCGAUUGGAUGAGCCCACGUCGGAUUAGCUAGUUGGCGGGGUAAAGGCCCACCAAGGCGACGAUCCGUAGCUGGUCUGAGAGGAUGAUCAGCCACACUGGAACUGAGACACGGUCCAGACUCCUACGGGAGGCAGCAGUAGGGAAUAUUGGACAAUGGGCGCAAGCCUGAUCCAGCCAUGCCGCGUGAGUGAAGAAGGCCCUCGGGUUGUAAAGCUCUUUUGUCCGGAAAGAAAGCGACCGGGUUAAUACCCUGGUGUCCUGACGGUACCGGAAGAUAAGCACCGGCUAACUUCGUAGCCAGCAGCCGCGGUAA